rfam:Hydnomerulius pinastri MD-312 unplaced genomic scaffold scaffold_18, whole genome shotgun sequence.
GGUUCAAUGGUCUAGUGGUUAUGAUUUCUGUCUUACACACAGAAGGUCCCCAGUUCGAUCCUGGGUUGAGCCA